AAAAAAAAAAAAAAAAAAUCAAUGCAGCAAGUCAGGAGCAAUUGAAGUUCAAGGGCAUGGGCUGGUGGUACCAUUUCUAUUUCUCAGAUCCUCUAGUUGGACAUCAACAGCCCCAGGAGAGAACAGCACGCAGCGCCGCGCGCGGGGCAGAGACCUUAAUUAAAGUUUCUUUUGUCCGCCUCUGAAUUAGGGGUUGUUGCUGGAUUCCUUCGCAUUGAGGAGCGCGCAUCCGGUGAAGGCGCGAUGCUGAGGAUCCUGGGCAAGAUUGUCCUCUUUAAUACUCGCCUCCUCCCCCCUCCCCCACAGUUGGGGCAGCUAGACCGGUAAACCCAUACAAUAAAAGCAGAUGAGGCGCGCACGGAGUCGGUUCCUAUCGGAUAGCGGCAUUUCCUAAGCACAUCUAAAAUCCUCAUUUCCCAAGAUUUUCCCGAUUGUGUAUUCCAGGGCAGAAUGUCUCACCCUGACGCACGAUCUAACCCCCUUCCAGUCAACACUUCCUGCCCUUUUCUCCUCCCACUCACAUUGAAAAGCUCGGGAGCCCUAAAAGGGUGUUGAUGGCUGGGGGUGAUAAAUAAAUAAAUAAAUGACACUACGCGUGCGGUGGCGAAGAAAGGAGGGGGAGGAAGGGGGGGGUCAGGGAGAGGAAAGCGAGGAGAAAGGACUCAGGCGAAAGGGAGCCGGGAGUCAAAGAAAGCAGAGGAAGAAAGGGGAGGAAGAUCGGUGAGGCUGCUCCACAGCGAAAUCCUCCUGGCUUUGUGCUUCUUUCCAGGUACUAGAGGGACCUGAGCAACUCUAUCUGUCCGGAGCUCUUCCCCACCCGGACCCUAAGGGUGUCUGAGUGCUGACCGCCGCUCCCCAUCAAUUCCUCGUGGCCACGAGAGGAAGCGCGCCAGAUUGAAAGCUCCUAUCAGCUGCUGGCUUUCCGAGGCUGCGAUAAAUAUCUUCCUCGACGUGAAGGUACCUUGUGGGCUAGCGUGGUUCCGAAGUGCGGGGAUGGGGACCGCCCCCCCCCUCCCCCAGGCGAGAGGACCCAGCGGCAGGGAGAGAGGAAUGAGCGGAGGUCAGGGGAAACCUGGGGUUUCCAGAGCUUUCGCGGUCGGGGGAAAUGAGCCCUGGGGAGGAGCCUUGCGCCAGCGCCAGCGCGCCCCAACACGCCUUCGACCUCGUAAACCCACUUGGCAAAGGCCGGGGAAGCCGCUGGCGGAGCGGCUGCGGUGAACUCCAGAAAUGAACCUGCGGCGCGACGCCACGGGCUGCCACCCUGGCCAACACUCACCUCGAGCGACCGACAUUGAGAGAGCUCCCGACGCGGCCGCGGGGGCACCUUGCUCCGCCCUCCCGUCCCAGGAGAAGAGGACAAAAAAAGGGGGGGGGGGAGAUGGACUUGGAGAUGGCCCCGCCCUUCAAACGCUCCAAUCCUUGGAAACCAAACCUCCUCUCCAAGCUUCCACGUCUAGAAGGGACAAAGACUGCCAGGAGAUCCAGGCGCUGAUGGGGAGGUGAUGGCUCCUCGCGCUUCUGGGGUGGGUGCUUUUGCAGGGGUAGGUAUCAAGGCUAAGUUUCCAUCCCAAAUGUCACCAAGGGAUGAUCUCUAGGAGGACAGACUGAGUCUUCUGGUAAAGAAGCAAGCUGACUUUUCAAAGCUGUGAAGCAAACAAUUGCAAAACUCCGGCACAGCCCUGCUGUGUUGAAGGUGGAAAACUAAAAUUUCUAUUCCUGAUGCCACAAUCCUUUUUAGUUUUUCUACUUUUAGAAGUCCCAAGUUCUCUAACUCCCCAACUAAAAUAAAUGAAAGACAUUAAACCUAA